rnacentral:rRNA from 1 species
GACGAACGCUGGCGGCGUGCUUAACACAUGCAAGUCGAACGAAGAGCGAUGGAAGCUUGCUUCUAUCAAUCUUAGUGGCGAACGGGUGAGUAACGCGUAAUCAACCUGCCCUUCAGAGGGGGACAACAGUUGGAAACGACUGCUAAUCCCGCAUACGAUCUAAUCUCGGCAUCGAGGAUAGAUGAAAGGUGGCCUCUACAUGUAAGCUAUCACUGAAGGAGGGGAUUGCGUCUGAUUAGCUAGUUGGAGGGGUAACGGCCCACCAAGGCGAUGAUCAGUAGCCGGUCGGAGAGGAUGAACGGCCACAUUGGGACUGAGACACGGCCCAGACUCCUACGGGAGGCAGCAGUGGGGAAUCUUCCGCAAUGGACGAAAGGCUGACGGAGCAACGCCGCGUGAGGGAUGACGGCCUUCGGGUUGUAAAGCUCUGUUAAUCGGGACGAAAGGCCUUCUUGCGAAUAGGGAGAAGGAUUGACGGUACCGGAAGAGAAAGCCACGGCUAACUACGUG